rnacentral:rRNA from 1 species
GACGAACCGAGCGAACGUUAUUCGGAAUCACUGGGCUUAAAGGGCGCGUAGGCGGGCCAUCAAGUCGAGGGUGAAAGCCCCCAGCUCAACUGGGGAAGUGCCUCCGAUACUGGUGGUCUCGAGGGAGAUAGGGGCGUGCGGAACUUCCGGUGGAGCGGUGAAAUGCGUAGAUAUCGGAAGGAACACCGGUGGCGAAAGCGGCGCGCUGGAUCUCUUCUGACGCUGAGGCGCGAAAGCCAGGGGAGCGAACAGG